rnacentral:rRNA from 1 species
GAUGAACGCUGGCGGCAUGCCUAAUACAUGCAAGUCGAACGAACGGACCCUUUGACUGAGGAGUGCUUGCACAAAUCAAGAUUAGGAUUUUCCGUUAGUGGCUAACGGGUGAGUAACACGUGGGUAACCUACCUAGAAGUGAGGGAUAACUAUUGGAAACGAUGGAUAAUACCUCAUAGGAAUAUGAUAUAUAAAGUAUUAUAUUUUAAAGAUGCGUUUGCAUCGCUACUAGAUGGGCCUGCGGUGCAUAGCUAGUUGGUAAGGUAAGAGCUUACCAAGGCGACGAUGUAUAGCCGGACUGAGAGGUUGAACGGCCACACUGGGACUGAGACACGGCCCAGACACCUACGGGUGGCAGCAGUAGGGAAUUUUUCGCAAUGGGGGCAACCCUGACGGAGCAAUGCCGCGUGAAUGAUGAAGGUUUUCGGAUCGUAAAAUUCUGUUGUAAGGGAAGAAAAGCUAUAUUAGGAAAUGAAUAUAGUCUGACGGUACCUGACGAGAAAGGGACGGCUAACUACGUGCCAGCAGCCGCGGUAAUACGUAGGUCCCGACCGUUAUCCGGAAUCAUUGGGCGUAAAGAGCAUGUAGGCGGUUAAUUAAGUCUGGUGUGAAAUCUAGUGGCUCAACCACUAAAUAGCAUUGGAAACUGAUUAACUA